rnacentral:rRNA from 1 species
AUACGGAGGGUGCAAGCGUUACUCGGAAUCACUGGGCGUAAAGCGCGCGCAGGCGGUCUUUUAAGUUGGAUGUGAAAGCCUACGGCUCAACCGUAGAACUGCAUCCAAAACUAUUAGACUAGAGUGUGGGAGAGGAAGAUGGAAUUAGUUGUGUAGGGGUAAAAUCCGUAGAGAUAACUAGGAAUACCAAUAGCGAAGGCAAUCUUCUGGAACACUACUGACGCUGAGGCGCGAAAGCGUGGGGAGCAAACAGGAUUAGAAACCCUAGUAGUCC